rnacentral:rRNA from 1 species
AGCGGACGCUGGCGGCAGGCCUAACGCAUGCAAGUCGAACGAAGUCUUCGGACUUAGUGGCGGACGGGUGAGUAACACGUGGGAACGUGCCUUUAGGUUCGGAAUAACUCAGGGAAACUUGUGCUAAUACCGAAUGUGCCCUUCGGGGGAAAGAUUUAUCGCCUUUAGAGCGGCCCGCGUCUGAUUAGCUAGUUGGUGGGGUAAUGGCCCACCAAGGCUACGAUCAGUAGCUGGUCUGAGAGGAUGACCAGCCACAUUGGGACUGAGACACGGCCCAAACUCCUACGGGAGGCAGCAGUGGGGAAUCUUGCGCAAUGGGCGAAAGCCUGACGCAGCCAUGCCGCGUGGAUGAUGAAGGUCUUAGGAUUGUAAAAUCCUUUCACCGGUGAAGAUAAUGACUGUAGCCGGAGAAGAAGCCCCGGCUAACUUCGUGCCAGCCGCCGCGGUAACAC